rnacentral:rRNA from 1 species
GCAUAACGCGAAGAACCUUACCUACCCUUGACAUGUCCAGUAUGAGCAUCAGAGAUGGAGCUCUUCAGUUCGGCUGGCUGGAACACAGGUGCUGCAUGGCUGUCGUCAGCUCGUGUCGUGAGAUGUUGGGUUAAGUCCCGCAACGAGCGCAACCCUCGCUUCUAGUUGCCAGCAUUCAGUUGGGCACUCUAGAGGGACUGCCGGUGAUAAGCCGGAGGAAGGUGGGAUGACGUCAAGUCCUCAUGGCCCUUACGGGUAGGGCUACACACGUGCUACAAUGGCGGUGACAGUGGGCAGCGACACAGCGAUGUGAUGCUAAUCCCAAAAAGCCGUCUCAGUUCAGAUUGCAGCCUGCAACUCGGCUGCAUGAAGUUGGAAUCGCUAGUAAUCGCUAAUCAGCAGGUANCGGUGAAUACG